GGAUAACCUGCCCUUGGGUCCGGCAUAACCCCGGGAAACUGGGGAUAAUUCCGGAUAACGCACAUAUGCUGGAAUGCUUUAUGCGUAAAAUGGAUUCGUCUGCCCAAGGAUGGGUCUGCGGCCUAUCAGGUAGUAGCGGGUGUAAUGUACCUACUAGCCUACGACGGGUACGGGUUGUGAGAGCAAGAGCCCGGAGAUGGAUUCUGAGACAUGAAUCCAGGCCCUACGGGGCGCAGCAGGCGCGAAAACUUUACAAUGCGGGAAACCGUGAUAAGGGGACACCGAGUGCCAGCAUCCUAUGCUGGCUGUCCGGGUGUGUAAAAUACACCUGUUAGCAAGGGCCGGGCAAGACCGGUGCCAGCCGCCGCGGUAACACCGGCGGCCCGAGUGGUGAUCGUGAUUAUUGGGUCUAAAGGGUCCGUAGCCGGUUUGGUCAGUCCUCCGGGAAAUCUGACAGCUUAACUGUUAGGCUUUCGGAGGAUACUGCCAGACUUGGAACCGGGAGUGGUAAGAGGUACUACAGGGGUAGGAGUGAAAUCUUGUAAUCCCUGUGGGACCACCUGUGGCGAAGGCGUCUUACCAGAACGGGUUUGACGGUGAGGGACGAAAGCUGGGGGCACGAACCGGAUUAGAUACCCGGGUAGUCCCAGCCGUAAACGAUGCUCGCUAGGUGUCACGCAUGGCGCGACCGUGUCUGGUGCCGCAGGGAAGCCGUGAAGCGAGCCACCUGGGAAGUACGGCCGCAAGGCUGAAACUUAA
rnacentral:rRNA from 1 species